GCAUAUCAAUAAGCGGAGGAAAAGAAACCAACAGGGAUUGCCCUAGUAACGGCGAGCGAAGCGGCAACAGCUCAAAUUUGAAAUCUGGCUAUUUUGUAGUCCGAGUUGUAAUUUGUAGAGGAUGCUUUUGGUGAGGUGCCUUCCGAGUUCCCUGGAACGGGACGCCAGAGAGGGUGAGAGCCCCGUACGGUUGGAUACCAAACCUUUGUAUAGCUCCUUCGACGAGUCGAGUAGUUUGGGAAUGCUGCUCUAAAUGGGAGGUAUAUCUCUUCUAAAGCUAAAUAUAGGCUAGAGACCGAUAGCGCACAAGUAGAGUGAUCGAAAGAUGAAAAGCACUUUGAAAAGAGAGUUAAACAGCACGUGAAAUUGUUGAAAGGGAAGCGCCUAUGACCAGACUUGUUUCUUUCAGUUUUGUUAGUUUUCGGACUGAUUUACUCUGUUAGUACAGGCCAGCAUCAGUUUGUUGUCAGGGAGAAAGGCUUAGGGAAUGUGGCUCUUUCGGGAGUGUUAUAGCCCUUUGCAUAAUACCUUUCGGCAGACUGAGGACCGCGCUUCGGCAAGGAUGCUGGCGUAAUGGUCAUCAGCGACCCGUCUUGAAACACGGACCAAGGAGUCAACCUUAUGUGCGAGUGUUUGGGUGUAAAACCCCAGCGCGUAAUGAACGUGAACGUAGGUGAGAGCUUCGGCGCAUCAUCGACCGAUUCUGAUGUUCUCGGAUGGAUUUGAGUAAGAGCACACAGGGUUGGACCCGAAAGAAGGUGAACUAUGCUUGUAUAGGGUGAAGCCAGAGGAAACUCUGGUGGAGGCUCGCAGCGGUUCUGACGUGCAAAUCGAUCGUCAAAUUAUGAGCAUGGGGGCGAAAGACUAAUCGAACCUUCUAGUAGCUGGUUCCAGCCGA
rnacentral:rRNA from 1 species